GGCGGCAUGCUUAACACAUGCAAGUCGAACGGCAGCAUGUUGUGUAGCAAUACACAAUGAUGGCGAGUGGCGGACGGGUGAGUAACGCGUAGGAACCUGCCUUAGAGAGGGGGACAACCCGAGGAAACUCGGGCUAAUACCGCAUAAAGUUGAGAAACCAAACGCUGGGUGGCAACACCUGGCACUCUAAGAGGGGCCUGCGUCUGAUUAGCUAGUUGGUGGGGUAAAAGCCUACCAAGGCGAUGAUCAGUAGCUGGUCUGAGAGGACGAUCAGCCACACUGGGACUGAGACACGGCCCAGACUCCUACGGGAGGCAGCAGUGGGGAAUAUUGGACAAUGGGGGCAACCCUGAUCCAGCAAUGCCGCGUGUGUGAAGAAGGCCUUCGGGUUGUAAAGCACUUUGGCCCGGGAAGAAGGUAUUUUGUUUAAGAGAUGAGAUAUUUGACUGUACCGGGAGAACAAGCACCGGCUAACUCUGUGCCAGCAGCCGCGGUAAUACAGANGGUGCGAGCGUUAAUCGGAAUUACUGGGCGUAAAGGGCGCGUA
rnacentral:rRNA from 1 species